rnacentral:rRNA from 1 species
UACGUAGAAGACUAGUGUUAUUCAUCUUUAAUAGGUUUAAAGGGUACCUAGACGGUAUAAUUAGUCUUUAACAGGAAACGGUUAUACUAGAGUUAUAUAUGAGGAGGUGAGUAUUUGUGGAGUAGAGUUGAAAUUCUUUGAUACCAUGAAGACUGGUAAAGGCGAAAGCAACCUUUUAUCUAAUAACUGACGUUGAGGGACGAAGGCUCGGGUCGCGAACAGGAUUAGAAACCCU